rnacentral:piRNA from 1 species
UGGGCAACGAAGUCUGGCAGAGUCAAAU